rnacentral:rRNA from 1 species
UACGAAGGGGGCUAGCGUUGUCGUCGAAUUACUGGGCGUAAAGCGCACGUAGGCGGCUUUGUAAGUUAGAGGUGAAAGCCUGGGGCUCAACUCCAGAACUGCCUUUAAGACUGCAUCGCUUGAAUCAUGGAGAGGCGGGUGGAAUUCCGAGUGUAGAGGUGAAAUUCGUAGAUAUUCGGAAGAACACCAGUGGCGAAGGCGGCCCGCUGGACAUGUAUUGACGCUGAGGCACGAAAGCGUGGGGAGCAAACAGG